rnacentral:lncRNA from 10 species
GGCCUGAGAAACCGUCAUGUUUCUGGGGAGUCACCUCAGCUGGCAGUUACCACCGUGUUAGAAAGCAGCCUCAGGACCGGCCACCUCCAUCACUGGCGUCACCAUGGGGGCUGUGCUGGGUGUCUUCUCCCUCGCCAGCUGGAAAAUCCUGGUGAGUUGAAGGCCAGGCAUGGUGGCUCACGCCAGGAUGGUCUCAAUCUCCUGACCUCGUGAUCCGCCGGCCUCCCAGAGUGCUUGGAUUACAGGUUCCAUGCCUCUGCAGCGGUGCCUCAUGUUUGCUGUGUAGUUGCUGUCCUAACAGUAAGAAUUCCACGGUGACUCGCCUCAUUUAUGCUUUCAUUCUCCUCCUGAGCACUGUCGUAUCCUAUAUCAUGCAGAGAAAAGAGAUGGAAA